AUUGUCAUAUUUGGUAAUCAUCUUAUGGGGGGUUUUUGCCCUUGUCUUGGAACAAAUCUCAGUUUUAAAGAAUAUUUUCAAUGCAGAAAUUUAAAAUUCCCAUGUGCUUCUAUUUACAGCUUUGCAUCUUAUUUGGCCAGAAUAUUUAGCUACUAAGAUGCUUCAUGAAUUUUAGCAUAAAAGAAGCAAAAUGAGUAUUCAACUUUAAAUUUGAAUUAAAAGGUGCCUAAGUACCUGCAUUCAUAGCAUGAUAAUCUCCAUAACACCAAACUAAACAUGGAAUUCUUGUUAUUGAUAGAUG
rnacentral:misc_RNA from 1 species